rnacentral:rRNA from 1 species
UACGAAGGGGGCUAGCGUUGUUCGGAUUUACUGGGCGUAAAGCGCACGUAGGCGGGUCGUUAAGUCAGGGGUGAAAUCCCGGAGCUCAACUCCGGAACUGCCUUUGAUACUGGCGACCUUGAGGCUGGAAGAGGUUAGUGGAAUUCCCAGUGUAGAGGUGAAAUUCGUAGAUAUUGGGAAGAACACCAGUGGCGAAGGCGGCUAACUGGUCCAGAUCUGACGCUGAGGUGCGAAAGCGUGGGGCGCAAACAGG